rnacentral:lncRNA from 1 species
CAGCUUCUUCUUGUUUUCAUCACUCUACCUUAUUUUUGCCCUUUAAUAUGCAGCAUCCAGCUCAUGCUGUGUUGCAGGGAUUUGAUACUGUAUUUCUGACCCUCUCCCAUUACCCAUGGCCACAUAUAACAAUAUACUCUGUAUAAAAUGGUGUUCUGCAAAGUGAGCAAAAUCGGGAAGAUUCUAGAGGGACUUUGAAACUUGGACAAAUGGACCAACAAAGGUGAGUUACUCAUUUAGGGAUGAUUCUCAACAGCUUUUUAGCAUUAUACUGAUAACAGUGAUAUUUUAUUUUCAUAUGGUCUCCUUGAGACUCCCCCGCCCCCCAGCACUCUGCCUUUGAACCUAGUCUGUAGCAGAAUUAUCUACAUAAUAGCAAAACAUGAAAGACCCCAGCCAAGACUCCACACUGUGCCUCUGUGCACACAUUGGUGGUUCCUUAUAGGAGAAAGUGUGUCCUGCCACAACUCUUAUAGGCAGUGGAGAAUAAAAACCUGUGCCUGGCUUCUCUGGUCCCCGUGCUGUAACACCAUAAGGCUAUGAUUCAUAUCCUUAUUUUAAUGCCAUUUCUAUAUUGUAUUAUUUUUCUUCCAAUAACUUUAAAUUUGCAAGCAGGACUUUUAGGUCCUGUGAGAAUUUUUUAACAAUUGAACCCUAUUUAUCUGCCACUGUUAGUGCUUAUGGUAUGUUUACUGAGACAUAGAGAUAUAAUUUAGUAAAGAGGAGUAUGAUUGCAAUAAAUUGAUCAUAGAAAUAUGCUCAAUUAGUGGAAAAUAUCAACUAACCAUUUUACAGGAAAAGCAUUCCCUGUGAAUUGAAAUGUAGACAGAAUAAUUACUUUUCUCUUCUUUACUGUUAAGCUGCAUCAUUGGCCUUUGACUUAGUUUUGUUGAAUGGGAGAUUAGAAUGAUUGAUUGUAAGUGUGCAAUAUCUGCAAACUUUUACUAGAUUUCUUGAUAACAUCACAUUGACAUUCUGUAAAAUGAUAUUUUAUUGACCAACAUACAGCAAUCUCUCUUUCAGAAUAGUAGUUGUCAAACUCCUUUUUAAAGAUAUACUUUUAUCAUAUUUUCAUUGUGCAGUAAGAUCUAUAAUACCAAAUAUUAAAAGAACAUAGACAAAUUGAUCUCCUAGGUACAUUUUCAAAAGACCAAUCAUUUUGAUAAUAUAAAGCAUAGAAUAUGAAUUGUCAAUAAUUUUAUAUUUUGGUCACUUUUAUUUUCUAUUUCAUAAUUAUCGAAUAAAUUAAGUAAAUUAUUAGUAAAUCUGACUAGAUUUUCUUUUUCUUUGUGAUUGUCCCUGAUAAUAGGUGCCUUGUUGUUGCACUAUAAUAAGCCUGGAUAACCAUCAAGGUCUAAAAAUACCAACUUAGGCUCUAUUUUUGGGCCCUUGCAUCUGAAGGCUUUUGUGCACAUGCUGGUGGGUUUUGAACUUACAGAGGAUUUGUGUCCUUACAGACAAGGAUAGUUGGAGCUCCCCACUGACCUUUCAGAGUUCAGACCCUUUGCUGUUGAGUUUACUGUUGGCUGUGCUGCCUUUCCUCACUUUAACGGAGUUGCCUGGUCCUGAAAUAAACUAUAGGUUUGUCAGCAUUGUCAUGUGAAUUGUUUUUAGACAUUGAAGCCUGUCUUUCAUUUCAAUGAUAAGCGUAAAAACCCACAUUCUUUCUGGCCUGAAGAAUUGGAAAACAGUUUGAGGGAUCCACAGACUCUUGAAAUUGAAGGGAGAAUCCAAUUCUGCGUAAAAUUUUUGCCUGUAUCCCUACUGAUCCCUGAACGACACGUGUGGGGCAGACAGCAAAGAGGACAUGGUAAAGAAAUAAAGAAUUGAAAUGGGAUUUGAGCUGCUGCACAAGGACUUUAUAAUUGGAAACUGUAGGGGAGGAGGACAUUUCCUCUACCCACUCUGGGGAGGUCCUUCUGGCCAGGCUAUGAAUUAAAUUGACAUGAGACAGAAUAAUAGGAGAAAAUCAAACAAAGCUUUAUAACAUGUCUACAUGGGAGACACUCAGGAAAACCUAGCAACAUGCCAAAAUGGUGGAGGGUUUCAUCUUAAAUACCAGCUUCAGCUAAAGAUAAAG